rnacentral:rRNA from 1 species
UACGAAGGGGGGCUAGCGUUGCUCGGAAUGACUGGGCGUAAAGGGCGCGUAGGCGGAUGGCACAGUCAGAUGUGAAAUUCCCGGGCUUAACCUGGGGGCUGCAUUUGAUACGUGUGAUCUAGAGUGAGGAAGAGGGUCGUGGAAUUCCCAGUGUAGAGGUGAAAUUCGUAGAUAUUGGGGAAGAACACCGGUGGCGAAGGCGGCGACCUGGUCCUUGACUGACGCUGAGGCGCGAAAGCGUGGGGAGCAAACAGG